rnacentral:rRNA from 1 species
CCUACGGGAGGCAGCAGUGGGGAAUAUUGCACAAUGGGGGAAACCCUGAUGCAGCGACGCCGCGUGAGUGAAGAAGUAUUUCGGUAUGUAAAGCUCUGUCAGCAGGGAAGAAAAUGACGGUACCUGACCAAGAAGCCCCGGCUAACUACGUGCCAGCAGCCGCGGUAAUAAGGAGGGGGCAAGCGUUAACCGGAUUUACUGGGGGGAAAGGGGGCGUAGACGGGAGGGCCAGGCUGGAGUGAAAGGCGGGGGCUCAACCCCCGGACUGCUCUUGAAACUGCAAGGCUGGAGUGCAGGAGGGGUAAGUGGAAUUCCUAGUGUAGCGGUGAAAUGCGUAGAUAUUAGGAGGAACACCAGUGGCGAAGGCGGCUUACUGGACUGUAACUGACGUUGAGGCUCGAAAGCGUGGGGAGCGAACAGGAUUAGAUACCCCUGUAGUC